GGGUCAGUAGGUUGGUCGUGCCACCGGUACGUACUGGUCUCACUGAUUCCUCCUUCCUGAAGAACCGUAAUGCCAUUAAUUUGGUGCUGCGGGGAAACAGGACUGUUACUUUGAAAAAAUUAGAGUGUUUAAAGCAAGCUAACGCUUGAAUACAUUAGUAUGGAAUAAUGAAAUAGGACGAUCGAUCCUAUUUUGUUGGUUUCUAGGAUUGACGUA
rnacentral:rRNA from 1 species